GCGUCGAUAUGUCUAGUGGCGAUGACAGCGGUCUGUAAAACCGUAACAAUGAUACACCGUAGGUUCGACUCCUACUCGGCGCACCA
rnacentral:tRNA from 1 species